UAAACGAUGGAUACUAGCUGUUCGACCGCAAGGUUGAGUGGCUAAGCGAAAGUGAUAAGUAUCCCACCUGGGGAGUACGUUCGCAAGAAUGAAACUCAAAGGAAUUGACGGGGGCCCGCACAAGCGGUGGAGCAUGUGGUUUAAUUCGAUGAUACGCGAGGAACCUUACCAGGGCUUAAAUGUAGAUUGACCGUUUUGGAAACAUUACUUUCGCAAGACAAUUUACAAGGUGCUGCAUGGCUGUCGUCAG
rnacentral:rRNA from 1 species